UGCAAUCUCGAAUAAUAUAGUCAGUUUAAUCACUUUAUUUGUGAAUUUUACCAAUCCUCAUUGGCAAACGAUAUCUUACUCAUGACUUUAUUACUUGAACGAUUGGUGCACUUGCUAGUGUUAAUUUUAUCGCAUCAAGUUUUUGGCGCCGUUGUCGAGGAUUGAGUUAGAAAUUUACACUUAUUGUGAUUUAAUUUUGAGAAGACCGACAAUUCAAGCAAAUAAUUUUGAGAUCAAGCCGGCCAUCAUUCAAAUGAUCCAACACUUGGUACAAUUUGGAAGCUUAUCACAAGAAGAUCCCAAUGUCCACUUGGAAAAUUUUCUGGAAAUUUGUGAUACUUUCAAGCACAAUGGAGUGUCGGAAGAUGCUAUUCGUCUGCGGCUUUUUCCAUUCUCAUUGAAGGAUAAAGCAAAAAGUUGGUUAAUCUCUUUACCUUCAAGAUCCAUCACCACAUGGGAGCAAAUGGCACAAAAAUUUCUAGGUACGUACUUUCCACCUGCGAAAACUGCAAAAUUGCGAAACGAAAUUAAUGUGUUUUUGCAGGUAGAGAAUGAAUCACUCUAUGAGGCAUGGGAAUGCUUUAAGGAUCUACUGAGAAAGUGUCCUCACCACGGGCUGCCAAUAUGGCUUCAGGUACAAACAUUUUAUAAUGGUUCUACUGCCAUAAUCCGCAAUAUGAUUGAUGCAGCUGCAGGUGGAACAAUAAUGAGAAAAACACCUAAACAAGCCUAUGAGUUGCUAGAUGAAAUGGCUACAAGUUCUUACCAAUGGCCUGCCGAAAGACUCCCUGGAAGGAGGGCUGUGGGUUUGCAUAAUGUUGAGACAAUCACAUCUUUGGCAGCACAAAUGGAGGCUCUCAAUAAGAAGAUGGAUGGAUUACAACUCCCAAUAUCAAUUACAUGUGAUUUUUGUGGAGGCAGCCACCCGAACCAUGAAUGCCAAACAGGAAGAAAGCAAGUUUGAUAAUCCGCCAUAAAAGCCCACAAUUGAGAAGCCACAAUUAAAAGGCCAUUCUCGGUCCAUUGAGAAGCCACAAUUAAAAGGCCCAAAUUUUGGCCCAUAGAAGCCCACAUUGAGGACAUUACUUCCAGCUACGACAUUGUGUUUCAUUCCUCCUAGCCACACGGUUUUUCUUCCUCUGAUUAUACAUUGGAUUUGGGGCUUUCAUUUGUAAAGAUUGCUUCCUGAGAUUACACGCUGGAGUUGGGGGCUGCCUGGGAGAUAAGAAGUUGCGACUCAAGUGGGAAAAACCCUAUCUAACCAAGAGUUUGAAGAUGGAAACCAGAGGAAGAUCCAGGCAGAGAGAGAGUGGCUGAGAGAGAUAAAGAGAUUUAGGGCAUAGAGAAUUAGGUUUAAAAGGGAAAUCUAGGAACGGGAAAGGGGAGUUGUGUUUACUGGGAUAUUCCAGAGGGUGCUUACUGGGAUAUUCCAGGGGGGUGUUGUGUUUACUGGAAUAUUCCAGAGAGUUUUUUGGGAGAUAUUCCAAAGGGAAAAAUGUUGUUACUGGGAUUUCCCACAGAAAGAAAGAGGGAAAAAAAGAGAUUAACCCAGGGCUUUUGGUGAGGGAUUUUUUGGUAUGGAAUUCCAGAGGGAAACAGGAGAUUUUUGGCUGGAAUAUUCCGGAGGGAAACGGGUUGUUUUUGCUGGGAUAUUCCAGAGAGAGAAAGAGGGGAAAAAGGAUUUGCCCAGGGCUUUUGGAAGAAGAUUCGGCCAGGAUUUGCCCAGGGCUUUUGGAGGAGGAUUCAGCCAGAGUUUUGGAGUUGACCCAGAGGGAUUAUUGCUGGGAGUGGUUGAUUCCAGGGAGAAAGCAGUAGCAUUCUGGGUUCAGUUGGCAUGUGGUAUGACAUCAUCGCACUACCUGGAGGAAAAUGACAAAAAAACCCAUGUGAGCUAAUUGAGCUGUACAGUUGUGUGGACCACUUCAACCCUUAUCAAUUGACACCUCAGCCCUUUUGUUUCCCCAAGAAGGAAGUGCUUUCUGGAAGGGAGAGGCAGCCGCCAAGUAGAAGUGGAGAAAAAAUAGAAGGAAAUAAGGCAGUACAGUACCGAUAGAAAAACCAAGUACCAGAGACGUGAGAAAAGGAAGAAAAAUUCAAGAGAGAGAGCUGCAGAAAGGAGGAUCCGAAGGGAAGGACAAUGAGAAAUUCUAGAAGAUCCAAGAUCCGGCUCCUCAACUCUUAUUCUUUCUGUUAGCUUGAUUCUUUUGUUAUUCUUGUUAUUAAUUAAGACAUUGAUUACUUUGGACAUCUGGUUUUUGUAAUUACCAUUAUGAACUAAAUUGUUAAGCUAGAUCUGCU